ensembl:lncRNA
AUUUGCUUUAGUAGCCCUGAUUUGAAGGCAACUUGUCUGUGUUCAUAUCUGUGUGUUCCUCUUCCUGGCUUGCACGUUGGCAAUCCCUGCACACCUGAGGUGGCUGGCCGAUGGGGACACAGUGACGAGACCUAGUGACCUUUGUGGUUGUACGUCAGCCCUGCGCACGUGGGCUCUGGAGAUAUGGCUUCCUGGCACCCAGGCCCUGGGCUCUUCCCUAGAACUUCGGGGAAGUGCCUGGGAAUGUGGAUGGGAGGCCAUGCAGCAGGCUGCUCUGCCUACCCAGCUCCUGAGCCCCUGGGGAAGGACACUUGUAGAGAAGGGAUGUGUUUGGGAAUGGAAUCUCAUUUACUCCCACUGUCCUGACAGUCCACGUGUUCAUAACUGUGAAAAGCUGGCACGUACCAAGGAGUCCAUCACCAAGAGUGGGGAAAGGAGGAAGAGGAGGAGGAAGGGAGAGACAAAUGGAAGAAUGGAUGGAGAGAGGAGUGGACGGAGACCUGAAGAAUCCAGCCAGAGGCCUGGAGCCCACGGCAGUGUCUCCUACAAGUCCACAUCGAGGAUCUGCACCGGGAAGGCCAAAGGCCAGGGUGGAAGCCAGAAAGCCUGUGCCAUGGGGUGAAGGGUCUGCGCCACCAGGCUGAGGGAUCCGCACUGGAGCCAGGAAGCGACGCUCAUGGUGAAGACCAGAGCUCCCCUAAGGAGAACAGCAGCCCUCCCCAGGGACAGCGGAACAGCGGAACAGCAAGGCCCUGAGCUCCUCCUCCAAGAAGAACAGCCAAGUUCGCAUCAGGGAAACCACCCGUAGCAAGCUUCUCCGGGAAAAUCAACAGCCCUGGAUCUUCCCCUCUGGUUCUCUCUUUAUCCCGUUGGCAACAAUCCUCAGGUGGGUCCUCCAUGCCCAACCACGCUGACUCUGCUCAGCCGGGUGUCCUAAGCUGCCCGUUAGUUCGUCCAUCGCAGGACGUUUGGCCAGUGCAGAGUGAGCCCAUCUCAGACCCUUCACUGGGUUACAUUUGCAGAAAUCUUCAUUCCAGAGAUGUUCUCGUCCGUAGAAAGAGAAAUUCAGCAUUGUUUGACGGGUUUCUGGAGGUCAGGUUUUGGCCUGCUACUACACUCAAUAUAUAUAUCAAUUAGUUGUUUUACAUAUUAACAGGAUUACAUAUUUCCACAUCCAAUAGGCAAGAGGUUAAGAAGCAUGUGGUCAACAUCAAUAUUCUGCAGUUAUUAUCAGAAAGGCUGGACAGAAGCAGAGUUGGGUACCAAGUCGUUCCCAGUUACAGUGCCCACUGCGUGACUCAGUUUCUCUAAUUUACCCCUCAUGGCUACCAUCUCGCCUCCUUCGUAAGAAAUGAGAAAACAAGCCCAGAAUCCCCCAGCUGGUGAUGACAGGAAGUGACACUUCCACUGCACAGGAGCGUGAACUCACCUUUUUCAUAGUCAGUGUUUGGUACAAUGCCCAGACCCUACCAGCUACUCAGGAGGUACUUCUAGAAAGAAUAAGGACUCCAGGCCAGGCCAGUGGAAGCACAGACAGCUGUUUGUCUAGAUGUGUGGACUGGGGUCACCUGUUCUGAAAUCCACUUGCGAAGUGUUCCGGGUUGCAGCCCUCCGCCUGCUCACCCUGGACAACCCACUCCUCUCCACGUUCUGCUUAUUGAAAGCCACUGCAUAUUGAUGUAAAUUUUCUCUACUUUUGUGGAUGAAUUUUACAGUGCCUGAUAACCCCAAGCUGAAAAAAAGAAGAAAGGAGGUGAGCAGUGAGAUAGAGUCUGAGAGGAAGAAUGAGAGAAAAAAAGAAGGAAGCAGGAAACUUUUAACCUUGCUUGGUAUUUUAGGAGGAAUUCCAAAGGAGCUUGCUUUCACCAGAGGAAAUGCAUUCCGAAUCUGACUAACGUGGGUAUGGACCAAAUUUCUGUGAUAUUAGUCUGUGAAAACAGAAGUCUACUUCGAGAAAGAGAGAUGUUCAACUUGGCUCAAUUCAGAUCUUAUCUCUGUUGGUGCAACUUGCUCAUUCCCGUGAAACUUUGGCACACUUAGACGAGUCAAAAAUCUGCAUGAUUGAUGUGCUAACACAUCUGCACCAGUAAGCAACCUCAAACAUAAACGUGAAGGAUGUCAUGAGGAUGUGCUCUUAACUUCUUGGAAGAAAUGAGUUAGACAGAUGAGUGCAUAUAUGGAAAGCAUACAGGCAUUUGGCUCUGAUGUAAGGGAAUUGGUCAACCACUGCCUAGGGCAGUUUAAGCCAGUUCAAAAGUUCCUCCUCCUCUGUGUAUUUUCAUUCUACAGUAAAUAAAAUACUUUGUUUUAUAGUUUUGUUGAUCUGGCAAAGAGCUUUGAAAAUUCCAGUUCUCACGAGGCUCUACUAGAAGAGCCACCAUUCCACAGAGCUGAGGCCUCCAUCCCAGAACAUCUUCUAAGAUUUGCUUCUUGUGCCCAAACUGUAGCAUGUGGGCCAAACAGGAGCUGGCUCCCGUGUGCAUGUUGUUGAAGUGUGGACUUAGGUCUUUUAUGCUUCACAAACCCGCCCCUCUCUAUCCUUAGGGUCACAGAACACAAACAGGGAAACCCUCACAGCUCUCAGGCCCGCAUCUCACAAAAGGCCAGGACAUUCUGAAGGUCUGCAAUGUCAUUCCCAAAUCCAGAGGCAACGUUCAGGUUCUAAAGUUCAACCUGAUAAGGAAUGCUCUGAAGGGCUCUGGCGGAGGUUGGGUAGGAUGAAAGACUGAGAAAUUAUUCCCCAAAAUAGUUUCACAGGAACCACCAUACGAUUCAACCAUGGGCUAUUUUUUGUUAAAGAACUUGGGUUAGCGGUCUGGUGUCGGUCACUUCUCAUGCCUUAUCCUUUGCAACAUUCAACUAUUGUCUUCAUUUAAUAUCAUUCAGGGCCUCACAGAAGACAAACCUGGGUCUGGGGCUCAUCUCUGAUUUAGCUCACUACCCAGACUGCACACACAUUUCCUUCUAACUCUUGAAUUUCUGGUAAAGACCUGCUCACCUGACAGGAUACCUUGAGGACUUGGUGAGAUAAUAUAGGACUUAGCUCAUAAUAGAAGCUCUGCUAAGUGUAAAUACUGCUUUUUAUUAGACACAGUGACCAAUGCACCCUUACCCCGGAAGGGCCUUUUGUUCGUUUUCCUCCCAUUGUUGCCUAGUGGCAGCUGCCAUGGGACCCUUAAGCAGGGUCAGUGCUUGACUGAGGGACACUGUUUUAUUCAGAUUUCUUUUCUGCCUUUCCUUCUCCCCGUGGUCACAGACAUACUAGAUUAUGCCCUUGCAACAGCCUUAAACCACAGGAAUGUCGCAGGGUGAACCUGUUACACAUUGUCCUUGAAAAGCUUCAAGCCAGAGGAAUGUCCCAAGGUGUCCCUUGGACCUAGUGCCUUCCAGACCCUGAGUGGCUGGGGCCACAGCGGAAUUGUCCCAGUCACAGUUUGCCCAAGCUCCCUGCCACCUGCUCAGAGAUAAGGAUCGUCAUCAUGGCUUGUUUGCUUGGACACACACAUGCACAAGGACACACACGUGCACACACAUAUCCUUCAGUCUCCUGGCUGUUGUGACCAUGGAAGGGAUGUUAAAGCUUGUAGCUGGGUUACGGCAAAUAGCAGCCUGAAUGAGCAUCUUUAGAGCUGUGUUUCAAAUAAUGCCUUGCACUGUGAUUAACAGAUUCAUGAAAACAUGCUACCUCUGGGCCAGGGGUGCAGCUCAGGGGUGUCACACCUGCUUCGCAAGUGCAAGGUCCUGAGUUCCAUCCAACUACCAAAAAAAAAAAAAGAGCUAUGUUGUAGGAUGAUUGACUUCAGGGACUGUUGCCAGCAAAAGUGCAAUGUCUCACUUGGAGUUAAAUCCUAGAACUACCUGGCCCCACAAAAACAGGAAAGAAAAAGAAAAGGUACAACUUGAAAAUACAGUGGACCCUCGAGUUAUGACCGGCCUUACCUACAAACAACUUGGGUUACAACUGGAAUUUUAGUUUUAACUUAUGACCAAAGUCUUCAGUUACAUCCAGUUUUUAGUUCUGAAAUCGUUGAGACCUCAUGAGCCAGAAGCAGGUCCCAGUGGGCUACAGACUCUCCCAAGGAGAGAAAGGACAUCAGAGAGCCGGACUCCUGAUGUUCUCAUGGAAGGAGACCCUCCUUCCACACAAUAUCCACCUUCCAUUCACCCUCCCUCCCUGCCAGCCAGAGACAUCACG